rnacentral:rRNA from 1 species
UACGUAGGUGGCAAGCGUUGUCCGGAUUUACUGGGCGUAAAGAGCGCGCAGGCGGUCGAUCAAGUCGCGUGUGAAAGCCCCCGGCUCAACUGGGGAGGGUCACGCGAUACUGAUCGACUCGAAGGCAGGAGAGGGUAGUGGAAUUCCCGGUGUAGUGGUGAAAUGCGCAGAUAUCAGGAGGAACACCUGCGGUGUAGACGGCUUACUGGACCAUAACUGACGCUGAGGCACGAAAGCGUGGGUAGCAAACAGG